GCCAGUGUGAUGUAGUGGUUUGAAUGUUGAACUAUGACUCUGACAAGCAGGGUUCAAAUCCCUGCUCAGGCA